GACGAACGCUGGCGGCGUGCUUAACACAUGCAAGUCGAACGAAGUGGCGAACGGGUGAGUAACGCGUAAUCAAACUGCCCUUCCGCGGGGGACAACAGUUGGAAACGACUGCUAAUACCGCAUACUGAAGGUGGGGAUUGCGGUUUGUUAGCUCGUCGGAGGGGUAACGGCCCACCAAGGCGAUGAUCCGUAGCCGGUGGUAGAGGAUGAACUGCCCCAUUGGGGCUGAGACACGGCCCAGACUCCUACGGGAGGCGGCAGUGGGGAAUCUUCCGCAAUGGACGAAAGUCUGACGGAGCAACGCCGCGUGAGUGAUGACGGCCUUCGGGUUGUAAAGCUCUGUUAAUCGGGACGCGGUACCGGAAUAGAAAGCCACGGCUAACUACGUGCCAGCAGCCGCGGUAAUUC
rnacentral:rRNA from 1 species